UUGGCUAGAGCGCACGACUGAUAAUCGUGAGGUCGGAAGUUCGAAUCUUCUUGGGCCCA
rfam:Tumebacillus flagellatus strain GST4 Contig020, whole genome shotgun sequence.